rnacentral:rRNA from 1 species
CAGCAGUACAGAACUUUCCAGAGAUGGAUUGGUGCCUUCGGGAACUGUGAGACAGGUGCUGCAUGGCUGUCGUCAGCUCGUGUUGUGAAAUGUUGGGUUAAGUCCCGCAACGAGCGCAACCCUUAUCCUUUGUU